rnacentral:rRNA from 1 species
AUUGAACGCUGGCGGAAUGCUUUACACAUGCAAGUCGAACGGUAGAGGGGGCAACCCCUCGAGAGUGGCGAACGGGUGAGUAAUAUAUCGGAACGUGCCCAGUCGUGGGGGAUAACGUAGCGAAAGUUACGCUAAUACAGCAUACGUACUAAGGAUGAAAGCGGGGGACCGUAAGGCCUCGCGCGAUUGGCGCCGCCGAUAUCAGGUUAGUUAGUUGGUUAGGUAAAGGCUCACCAAGCCAACGAUCUGUAGCUGGUCUGAGAGGAUGCUCAUCCACACUGGGACUGAGACACGGCCCAGGCUCCUACGGGAGGCAGCAGUGGGGAAUUUUGGACAAUGGGGGCAACCCUGAUCCAGCCAUUCCGCGUGAGUGAAGAAGGUCUUCGGGUUGUAAAGCUCUUUGGUCCGGAGCGAAACGGUUGUGGUGAAUAUCCACGACUACUGACGGUACCGGAAGAAUAAGCACCGGCUAACUACGUGCCAGCCGCCGCCGUAA